GUAGGGAAUAUUGCGCAAUGGGGGAAACCCUGACGCAGCGACGCCGCGUGAGUGAUGAAGGCCUUCGGGUCGUAAAGCUCUGUUGCAGGGGAAUAAAAAAAUGAAGGUACCCUGUGAGGAAGGAUCGGCUAACUUCGUGCCAGCAGCCGCGGUAAGACGAGGGAUCCUAGCGUUGCUCGGAAUCAUUGGGCGUAAAGAGGGCGUAGGUGGCUUGGUAAGUCAGGUGUGAAAGCCCAGGGCUCAACCCUGGAAGUGCAUUUGAUACUGCUGAGCUGGAGUGUCGGAGAGGUUACCGGAAUACCUGGUGUAGUGGUGAAAUACGUAGAUAUCAGGUGGAACACCGGAGGCGAAGGCGGGUAACUGGACGAACACUGACACUGAGGCCCGAAAGCGUGGGGAUCAAACAGGAUUAGAUACCCGGGUAGUCC
rnacentral:rRNA from 1 species